rnacentral:rRNA from 1 species
CCUACGGAGUGCAGCAGUGAGGAAUAUUGGUCAAUGGGCGUAAGCCUGUACCAGCCAAGUCGCGUGAGGGAUGAAGGUUCUAUGGAUCGUAAACCUCUUUUAUAAGGGAAUAAAGUGUGGGACGUGUCCUAUUUUGUAUGUACCUUAUGAAUAAGGAUCGGCUAACUCCGUGCCAGCAGCCGCGGUAAUACGGAGGAUCCGAGCGUUAUCGGGAUUUAUUGGGUUUAAGGGGUGCGUAGGCGGCCUUUUAAGUCAGCGGUGAAAGUCUGUGGCUCAACCAGAGAAUUGCCGUUGAAACUGGGGAGCUUGAGUAUGUUUGAGGCGGGCGGAAUGCCUGGUGUAGCGGUGAAAUGCUUAGAUAUAACGCAGAACCCCAGUUGCGAAGGCAGCCUGCCAAGCCAUGACUGACGCUGAUGCUCGAAAGCAUGGGGAUCAAACAGGAUUAGAUACCCCAGUAGUC